AAGAUAAAACAGAAUGAAUGGAUUGAAUUUGAGAAGGCACUUACUAUGUCCCAGCUACACGAUUUGUGACAAUGUGCGACUGGUCCCCUCCAAAUAACUUCGCCAAGCCAAAGUCUGAAAUCUUAGGGGUUAAAUCGGAAUCUAGUAGAAUGUUGUUAGCUUUGAGAUCCCGGUGAAUGAUUUUCAACCGAGAUUCUUCGUGCAGGUACUGUAGCCCUCGAGCAAUUUCACUUAUGAUCCUGAAUCUCUUCUCCCAGUCCAAUUCCUUGCUUUUAUCUUGAUCUGCCACCAAUAAAUAUAAAGGAGAUUUCGCGUCAUUGUGAGUGAUGAAUAUAUACCGAACUUAAUAUAUUAAAAAAAAGACAAAUAAUAUACCAAAAAGAAUAGUGUCCAAGCUCCUAUUGGGCAAGUAUUCAUACACAAGUAGCUUCUCCUCGUCCUCAAGGCAAACACCCACUAGUCUCACAAGGUUUUUGUGUUGAAGCUUCCCAACCAAAACUAGCUCAUUUUUCAACUCUCCUAUCCCCUGCUGUGAGCAACGCGACAGCCUCUUGACUGCUAUGGUUUGCCCAUUUGGAAGAGCUCCCU
rnacentral:sRNA from 1 species